AUUGAACGCUGGCGACAGGCCUAACACAUGCAAGUCGAACGGUAACAGGAAGCAGCUUGCUGCUUUGCUGACGAGUGGCGGACGGGUGAGUAAUGUCUGGGAAACUGCCUGAUGGAGGGGGAUAACUACUGGAAACGGUAGCUAAUACCGCAUAACGUCGCAAGACCAAAGAGGGGGACCUUCGGGCCUCUUGCCAUCGGAUGUGCCCAGAUGGGAUUAGCUUGUUGGUGGGGUAACGGCUCACCAAGGCGACGAUCCCUAGCUGGUCUGAGAGGAUGACCAGCCACACUGUAACUGAGACACGGUCCAGACUCCUACGGGAGGCAGCAGUGGGGAAUAUUGCACAAUGGGCGCAAGCCUGAUGCAGCCAUGCCGCGUGUAUGAAGAAGGCCUUCGGGUUGUAAAGUACUUUCAGCGGGGAGGAAGGGAGUAAAGUUAAUACCUUUACUCAUUGACGUUACCCGCAGAAGAAGCACCGGCUAACUCCGUG
rnacentral:rRNA from 1 species